GCGUAUACGGUGGAUGCCUUGGCAGUUAGAGGCGAUGAAGGACGUGUAAGUCUGCGAAAAGCUGUGGUGAGCCGACAAAAUGCAUUUGAGCCACAGAUGUCCGAAUGGGGAAACCCACCUAUUUAUAGGUAUCGUUACAUGAAUAUAUAGUGUAACGAGGCGAACGAGGGGAACUGAAACAUCUAAGUACCCUUAGGAAAAGAAAUCAACCGAGAUUCCCCUAGUAGCGGCGAGCGAACGGGGAUUAGCCCUUAAGCAAUUAUGAACGUAGUGGAAGCCUCUGGGAAGUGGCGCGAUACAAGGUGAUAGCCCUGUACACGAAGUGUUUGUUUUUGUGAAAUCGAGUAGGUCGGGACACGUGUUAUCUUGACUGAAUAUGGGGGGACCAUCCUCCAAGGCUAAAUACUCCUAACUGACCGAUAGUGAACCAGUACCGUGAGGGAAAGGCGAAAAGAACCCCUGUGAGGGGAGUGAAAUAGAACCUGAAACCGUAUACGUACAAGCAGUGGGAGCAGACUUGUUCUGUGACUGCGUACCUUUUGUAUAAUGGGUCAGCGACUUAUAUUUAGUAGCAAGGUUAAGCGAAUAGCGGAGCCGUAGCGAAAGCGAGUGUUAACUGCGCGUUUAGUUGCUAGGUAUAGACCCGAAACCCGGUGAUCUAGCCAUGGGCAGGUUGAAGGUUGAGUAACAUCAACUGGAGGACCGAACCCACUAACGUUGAAAAGUUAGGGGAUGACUUGUGGCUGGGGGUGAAAGGCCAAUCAAACCGGGAGAUAGCUGGUUCUCCCCGAAAUCUAUUUAGGUAGAGCCUCGGACGAAUUCCAUUGGGGGUAGAGCACUGUUAAGGCUAGGGGGUCAUCCCGACUUACCAACCCUUUGCAAACUCCGAAUACCAAUGAGAACUAUCCGGGAGACACACGGCGGGUGCUAACGUCCGUCGUGAAGAGGGAAACAACCCAGACCGCCAGCUAAGGUCCCAAAAUAUUGCUAAGUGGGAAACGAUGUGGGAAGGCAUAGACAGCUAGGAGGUUGGCUUAGAAGCAGCCACCCUUUAAAGAAAGCGUAAUAGCUCACUAGUCGAGUCGGCCUGCGCGGAAGAUGUAACGGGGCUAAGCAAUAUACCGAAGCUGCGGAUACGUGUUUACACGUAUGGUAGGGGAGCGUUGUGUAAGUGGAUGAAGGUGGAUUGAGAAGUCUGCUGGACAUAUCACAAGUGCGAAUGCUGACAUGAGUAACGAUAAUGGGAGUGAAAAACUCCCACGCCGGAAGACCAAGGUUUCCUGUCCCAUGCUAAUCAGGGCAGGGUAAGUCGGCCCCUAAGGCGAGGCAGAAAUGCGUAGUCGAUGGGAAACGGAUUAAUAUUUCCGUACUUAUAUAAUCAGUGAUGGAGGGACGGAGAAGGCUAAGCAAGCUUGGCGUUGGUUGUCCAAGUGAAAGCAAGUAGGCCGAGCGUUUAGGUAAAUCCGGACGCUUAAAGCUGAGAUGCGAGACGAGCUACUACGGUAGUGAAGUUGUUGAUGCCCUGCUUCCAGGAAAAGCUUCUAAACUUAUGAUUAUAUGAACCGUACCCCAAACCGACACAGGUGGUCAGGUAGAGAAUACUAAGGCGCUUGAGAGAACUCGGGUGAAGGAACUCGGCAAAAUUGUACCGUAACUUCGGGAGAAGGUACGCCCUUGUUUGUGAUAGGACUUGCUCCUUGAGCAGAUGAGGGCCGCAGUGACCAGGUGGCUGGGACUGUUUAUUAAAAACACAGCACUCUGCUAACUCGCAAGAGGACGUAUAGGGUGUGACACCUGCCCGGUGCCGGAAGGUUAAUUGAUGGGGUUAUCUUCGGAGAAGCUCUUGAUCGAAGCCCCGGUAAACGGCGGCCGUAACAAUAACGGUCCUAAGGUAGCGAAAUUCCUUGUCGGGUAAGUUCCGACCUGCACGAAUGGUGUAAUGAUUUGAGCGCUGUCUUGACGGGAGGCCUGGUGAAAUUGUAUUACCGGUGAAGAUACCGGUUACCUACAGUAGGACGGAAAGACCCCAUGGAGCUUUACUGUAGCUUGGUAUUGGGUUUUGGCAUUGCAUGUAUAGGAUAGUUGGGAAACUAUGAAGGUGUGGCGCUAGCUGCACUGGAGUUGUCGGUGGAAUACCAACCAUUCAAUGUUGAAAUUCUAAUCUGUGGUUUGGAGCCACGGAGACAGUGCUAGGUGGGCAGUUUGACUGGGGCGGUCGCCUCCCAAAUGGUAACGGAGGCGUACAAAGGUUUCCUCAGAUCGGUCAGAAAUCGAUCGUAGAGUGUAAAGGCAUAAGGAAGCUUGACUGUGAGACCUACAAGUCGAGCAGGGACGAAAGUCGGUCUUAGUGAUCUGACGGUACUGAGUGGAAAGGCCGUCACUCAACGGAUAAAAGUUACUCUAGGGAUAACAGGCUGAUCUCCCCCAAGAGUUCACAUCGACGGGGAGGUUUGGCACCUCGAUGUCGGCUCAUCGCAUCCUGGGGCGGUAGUACGUCCCAAGGGUUGGGCUGUUCGCCCAUGAAAGCGGUACGCGAGCUGGGUUCAGAACGUCGUGAGACAGUUCGGUCCAUAUCCGGUGUAGGCGUUAGAAUAUUGAGAGGAGCCUUCUUUAGUACGAGAGGACCGAGAAGGACAUACCUAUGGUGUACCAGUUAUCAUGCCAAUGGUAAACGCUGGGUAGCUAUGUAUGGAGUGGAUAACCGCUGAAAGCAUCUAAGUGGGAAGCCCACCUCGAGAUGAGUAUUCUCAUCACGAAAGUGAGUAAGGUCACGGCAAGACUAGCCGUUCGAUAGGCAUCAAGUGUAAGUAUAGUAAUAUAUGUGCUGAGAUGUUCUAACAGACCGA
rnacentral:rRNA from 12 species